ACAACUGUGCCCAGCUACAUCCACACAGCUGUACCAUACAAUGUACAUGUGCUCAGAAGAGCUAAAUGCCACAGAGAAGUAAUGGCCACCAAGGCUUUUACUCGUUGUGUGUGAUCUUUUAUGGGCAGAUUAUUCGCCAGAUGUAAUUUAUCCUCAGUAAAUACAUAAAUCAGUUAUGUGAGGUGUCUUAUUUUAAUGUUGCAAAUGUGAAGUUCUUGUGAUCUUGCUUGUUCUUAUUUUGUUUCCUUUGUGAGCAUGAGUGAUGUAGGUUGCCUCGACGCAAAUUCUAAAACUGUUUCUUCAUCACUGAUAUUCACGAAAGUUAAUUUACACAUAACUUUCCCAGUUACUAAUAUCGCAGGCUUCGAGUUCAAUUUUCUGAUGUUUGAUGUUAUGUUUAUCUACCAAGUCGGGUUUUGUCGUACAUUGAAACAUAUCCACCCAUUGCACAGUGGGCACCCAAAGUAUGAAUAUCUGUUCUUUCUUUCUACCUUGCUCUGGUACAUAAUAAAAAUACAAAGCG
rnacentral:lncRNA from 1 species